GGUGACGAGUGGCGGACGGGUGAGUAAUGUCUGGGAAACUGCCCGAUGGAGGGGGAUAACUACUGGAAACGGUAGCUAAUACCGCAUAACGUCGCAAGACCAAAGAGGGGGACCUUCGGGCCUCUUGCCAUCGGAUGUGCCCAGAUGGGAUUAGCUAGUAGGUGGGGUAACGGCUCACCUAGGCGACGAUCCCUAGCUGGUCUGAGAGGAUGACCAGCCACACUGGAACUGAGACACGGUCCAGACUCCUACGGGAGGCAGCAGUGGGGAAUAUUGCACAAUGGGCGCAAGCCUGAUGCAGCCAUGCCGCGUGUAUGAAGAAGGCCUUCGGGUUGUAAAGUACUUUCAGCGAGGAGGAAGGUGUUGUGGUUAAUAACCGCAGCAAUUGACGUUACUCGCAGAAGAAGCACCGGCUAACUCCGUGCCAGCAGCCGCGGUAAUACGGAGGGUGCAAGCGUUAAUCGGAAUUACUGGGCGUAAAGCGCACGCAGGCGGUCUGUCAAGUCGGAUGUGAAAUCCCCGGGCUCAACCUGGGAACUGCAUCCGAAACUGGCAGGCUAGAGUCUUGUAGAGGGGGGUAGAAUUCCAGGUGUAGCGGUGAAAUGCGUAGAGAUCUGGAGGAAUACCGGUGGCGAAGGCGGCCCCCUGGACAAAGACUGACGCUCAGGUGCGAAAGCGUGGGGAGCAAACAGGA
rnacentral:rRNA from 1 species